GGCCUCCUAAAGGAAGGCAGUAUGGUGCUGUGGAAAGAGCACUGGACUUGGAGUCUGAAGAC
rnacentral:pre_miRNA from 1 species